CACCGCGGUUAUACGAGAGGCCCAAGUUGAAAGACAUCGGCGUAAAGAGUGGUUAAGUAAAAAUUAAACUAAAGUCGAACAUCUUCAAGGCUGUUAUACGCAUCCGAAGACAAGAAGUUCAACCACGAAGGUGACUUUAUUUAUACUGAACCCACGAAAGCUAAGACA
rnacentral:rRNA from 1 species